rnacentral:misc_RNA from 1 species
UUUCCGUAGGUGAACCUGCGGAAGGAUCAUUAUUGAAUCACCGAGGUUCGAGGGUUGUCGCUGACCCGCUUGGUUCUGCACGCCCGAGUGUCACCACACCUGUCUAUCUACCCCCUAUGUGCUCCACCGCGUGGGUCCCCCUUUUGCUUGUUGGGAGGGGGGCUUACGUUUUUACAUAAAAUUUGUGUGCAGUACAGAAUGUUUUUAGUGUUUUUGCGAUCACUCGAUCAUUACAACUUUCAAGAACGGAUCUCUUUGCUCUCGCAGUGCUGGAGAAGG